UACGUAGGGUGCAAGCGUUGUCCGGAAUUAUUGGGCGUAAAGAGCUCGUAGGCGGUCUGUCGCGUCGGCUGUGAAAACCCGGAGCUCAACUCCGGGCCUGCAGUCGAUACGGGCAGACUGGAGUUCGGCAGGGGAGACUGGAAUUCCUGGUGUAGCGGUGAAAUGCGCAGAUAUCAGGAGGAACACCGGUGGCGAAGGCGGGUCUCUGGGCCGAUACUGACGCUGAGGAGCGAAAGCGUGGGGGGCGAACAGG
rnacentral:rRNA from 1 species